rnacentral:rRNA from 1 species
UACGUAGGGGGCAAGCGUUGUCCGGAAUUAUUGGGCGUAAAGAGCGUGUAGGCGGCCAGGUAGGUCUGCUGUGAAAACUCGAGGCUCAACCUCGAGACGUCGGCGGAAACCAUCUGGCUAGAGUCCGGAAGAGGAGAGUGGAAUCUUGGUGUAGCGGUGAAAUGCGCAGAUAUCAGGAAGAACACCCGUGGCGAAGGCGGCUCUCUGGGACGGUACUGACGCUGAGACGCGAAAGCGUGGGGAGCGAACAGG